rnacentral:lncRNA from 1 species
CACACACAUAUAUGUAAAUGAACUUUCAUUAUUUUCAAAUAGGGACACUAAUUAAAAGUGUACCCUAAAAGUCAUUUGAUGUAAUCUUGGGAAUACAACUUAAUCAAGUGUGCAAAGGUAUUGUUUAUUAUUUAAAUAAUAUAAUAGUACAAGUUCAAAAGAAUAUAGGGCAAAGCUCAUAUAAUAUGGGAUUGCAAUCUAAUGUAUUUUGACUGUUGAGACUAAUUUCAAAUGAUUUAUAUAUUUUAAUGUCUGGUCUUAUGUCAUUGUAGGGUGUGACACUAAAACAGAUACAUAGGUAGCUUCAGUUCCCUAAAAGCGAUCAAAUAGGAACUCUUACGUAUGUAUACUACAUACACAUGUCAAUAAGAGUUCAAUCGUUACAAUAAUGCAAAGUUAAGCCUUUUGUCCUGAGGCAUCACAUAACUGUUAUUUUGUGGAUAAUGUAGUAACUCUGUGAUACGCGUUAUACAUUUGGGGGUUAUUGAGUGCAUAGU